rnacentral:rRNA from 1 species
GGAUUGUAAACUUCUGUUCUUAGUGAAGAAUAAUGACGGUAGCUAAGGAGCAAGCCACGGCUAACUACGUGCCAGCAGCCGCGGUAAUACGUAGGUGGCAAGCGUUGUCCGGAAUUACUGGGUGUAAAGGGAGCGUAGGCGGGAUGCCAAGUCAGCUGUGAAAACUAUGGGCUUAACCUGUAGACUGCAGUUGAAACUGGUAUUCUUGAGUGAAGUAGAGGUUGGCGGAAUUCCGAGUGUAGCGGUGAAAUGCGUAGAUAUUCGGAGGAACACCGGUGGCGAAGGCGGCCAACUGGGCUUUAACUGACGCUGAGGCUCGAAAGUGUGGGGAGCAAACAGGAUUAGAUACCCUGGUAGUCCACACUGUAAACGAUGAUAACUAGGUGUGGGGGGUCUGACCCCUUCCGUGCCGCAGCUAACGCAAUAAGUUAUCCACCUGGGGAGUA